GCAGGGAAUCCCAGCCUGGCCAUUUCCUCAUUCUCCCAUGCUAUGUGGUUCUAGCUCCCAAGUUCCCUGAUCCAGAACUCAGCCUGGUCUUGGCCUGGUCAGAAUGCAGGAUCAGUGGUUGAUAAAACUGAGCCACCUUUACCUUCCUUCUGCCUAUGACACCUGUGCCAAUCCAGGACAGGACUAGCCCUGCUAAAGCAGGGGCCAGAAACCUGGAGGAGCCUGUCACCAGCAAGGGAAGGAGGUUCCUAGGCCUCCUAGGAGAGGAGGAGGGCAGGAAGCAGGGAUGCAGAGCUGGAAGGAGUUGGGAGAAAAACCCCAGCGGCCCACAUGCCACCUGCCUCUUACCAGAUUUCCCUGCAGAACACUUAGUCAUACUGCUGUCCCCCUCUUUCCUGGAGCCUCUUUGCUUUCACUUGCCAGAGGAAGGUUUGAAAAACUGUGUGUUAAUGGAGAGAAGACACCACGAGACUUCUGAGGGCCUGAGAUCUGGAUCCAAAGAGACCACUUAAGGCUAGGAUGCUUAUCCUUGGAACCCUUGGAACCCAGCUACCAUGCUGUGUGGAAGCCCAGGCCACAUGGAGAAUCCACAUAUCAUAUCCUUGCUGGAAGCCCCAUCUGAGGUCCCAGGUAGCCAGCAUCAACUGGCUAUCAGGAGAUCUUCAAGCUGACUCCAGCCCAGCCACCACCAGACUGCAGCCAUAUGAGAGACCUUGAGCAAGAAUGGCCUAGCUGAGUCCAAUCAAUGCUCCCUCCCCAAGAAACAAAAGAAAUGAAUAAUAAAUGAUUGUUGUGGCCAGGCCUGGUGGCUCAUGCCUGUAAUCCCAACACUUCGGGAGGCCAAGGCAGGUGGAUCGUGAGGUCAGGAGUUCAAGACCAGCCUGGCCAAGAUGGUGAAACCCCAUCCCUACUAAAAAUACAAAAAUGAACCAGGCACCAGUAAUCUCAGCUACUUGGGAGGCUGAGGCAGAGAAUCACUUAAACCCGGGAGGCGGAGGUUGCAGUGACCUGACAUUGCGCCACUGCACUCUAGCUUGGGUGACAGAGCGAGACUCCGUCUCAGAAAAUAAUAAAUAAAUAAAUAAAUAAAUAAAUAAUUGUUUUAUGCCAAUAAAUAUGGGUGGUUUGUUAUGCAGCAAAGAAUCACUGAGGCCAGGGCAGAGAAUUACCCACAAUCAGCCUCAGACCAUGAUGGGGAGGUGAUGCCAAUCUUUGUCCCUUUCUGGACCCUCUGCUUUUACCCCCAAGGUCCAGGAUCUCAGACCACAACUCCCCAUGAUGGGCUCCUUCAUAGCAAG
rnacentral:lncRNA from 1 species